UCAAAACGGAGAGUUUGAUCCUGGCUCAGGAUGAACGCUGGCGGUAUGCUUAACACAUGCAAGUCGAACGGGCUCUUCGGAGCUAGUGGCGGACGGGUGAGUAACGCGUGAGAAUCUGGCUUCAGGUUCGGGACAACAGUUGGAAACGGCUGCUAAUACCGGAUGUGCCUGUGGGUGAAAGAUUUAUCACCUGAAGAUGAGCUCGCGUCUGAUUAGCUAGUAGGUGUGGUAAGAGCGCACCUAGGCGACGAUCAGUAGCUGGUCUGAGAGGAUGACCAGCCACACUGGGACUGAGACACGGCCCAGACUCCUACGGGAGGCAGCAGUGGGGAAUUUUCCGCAAUGGGCGAAAGCCUGACGGAGCAAUACCGCGUGAGGGAGGAAGGCUCUUGGGUUGUAAACCUCU
rnacentral:rRNA from 1 species